GAUGAACGCUAGCGAUAGGCUUAACACAUGCAAGUCGAGGGGCAGCGAGGGUAGCAAUACCUGUCGGCGACCGGCGCACGGGUGAGUAACGCGUAUGUAACCUGCCCGCAACAGGGGGAUAACCCGGCGAAAGUCGGACUAAUACCGCAUAAAACAGGGGUCCCGCUUGGGAAUAUUUGUUAAAGAUUUAUCGGUUGCGGAUGGGCAUGCGUACCAUUAGGUAGUUGGUGAGGUAACGGCUCACCAAGCAUUCGAUGAUUAGGGGUUCUGAGAGGAAGGUCCCCGAGACGGGGACUGAGACACGGAGCAGAGUGAUACGGGAGGGAGCAGUGAGGAAUGUAGGAGAAUGGACGAGAGCCUAAAGCAGGCAAGUCGCAUGAAGGAAGGCUGCGCGAGGGAUUGUAAACUUCGGUUAGAAGAGAAUAAAAGGAGGUAAGGGUAUGUUAGUGCAUGUAACGUGGAAAGAAGCAUCGGCUAACUCCGUG
rnacentral:rRNA from 1 species